GUUUGAUUUCUGAAAGAUUUCUGAUAGAAAAAGAAAGGCCUGUGAACCAAGGAGCAAAGGGAAGAAGGAGAGAGAAGACACAUGACAGUGUGCUGAAGAUUAUAGGUGAAUACCUUAUUCCUAUACAUGAUGACUAGCUCAGGUGAAUUUGACAUCUAUGAACUGAUCAGCAAUAUAAUUGGUGUGUAUGUGUGUCUUUCUCCAGUUGCCUCUUUUUCUGUCUCUGCGAGGCCUGGUGGCAGUAGACAGCCCGUAUGCGAUGAGGGAAUGCUUUGGCAUGUUUUACAGCACAGCCCCAACGUCCAGAACAGGAACGACUUGAGAAACUGCAAGUCACUUCUGGCGUGAGAGAAUUGGCCAUCAGCAAAGAUAUUGCCCAGGGGACGCCUGGAUGUUUUGAUGUUUUUACCAUCCUUGUGGGUGGCUUCUCUCAUGUCCCCACAUGGAGCUGGAGCUGAUAGAGGGAGCUCACCUGAGCUCUCCACGGGUUGGAUUUGAAUUGGGGUCAGCAACCCAACCUUCAAGUCAUCAGUCCUGCCAGCACAAGGGUUUAACCCACUGUGCCACUGGUCAGUUCAUUUAACCAUGUGUUUCUCUGAAAAAAUAGCACAUGGUCCACAUUCAUAAAUACCAUGAUGCACAAAUCUGCCUUAAUAAAAGUCCAAACCCCA
rnacentral:lncRNA from 11 species